rnacentral:rRNA from 1 species
GAUGAACGCUGGCGGCGUGCCUAAUACAUGCAAGUCGAGCGAACAGAUGAGGAGCUUGCUCCUCUGACGUUAGCGGCGGACGGGUGAGUAACACGUGGAUAACCUACCUAUAAGACUGGGAUAACUUCGGGAAACCGGAGCUAAUACCGGAUAAGAUAUUGAACCGCAUGGUUCUAUAGUGAAAGACGGUUUUGCUGUCACUUAUAGAUGGAUCCGCGCCGCAUUAGCUAGUUGGUAAGGUAACGGCUUACCAAGGCAACGAUGCGUAGCCGACCUGAGAGGGUGACCGGCCACACUGGAACUGAGACACGGUCCAGACUCCUACGGGAGGCAGCAGUGGGGAAUCUUCCGCAAUGGGCGAAAGCCUGAUGGAGCAACGCCGCGUGAGUGAUGAAGGUCUUCGGAUCGUAAAACUCUGUUAUUGGGGAAGAACAAAUGUGUAAGUAACUAUGCACGUCUUGACGGUACCUAAUCAGAAAGCCACGGCUAACUACGUG